rnacentral:tRNA from 1 species
GGUCCGAUGGUGUAGUUGGUUAUCACGUCAGUCUAACACACUGAAGGUCUCCAGUUCAAACCUGGAUCGGAUCA